rnacentral:tRNA from 1 species
AAUAAAGUGUCUGAUUUAGGUGAUAAAUUGUAAAUUUAUUUAAAAAGUUAAAAGCUUUCUUUAUUA